GAGAUGAUAAAAGGGCGCGAGGUUCGGCUGUGUGGUACCUCAGUCAGAGCUCGGCUUUCCCGGGCUUUCUCAUGUUUGCCCAUAUCACAUUCCGUUCCACGUUGCCCACACGUUAUGGUUAUUCAUCUGUACGAUUCACCUCAGAACCAGCAGGGCGCUGCACGCUUAUGUAUUUAUUUUGGUGUAUUAAUCGCCCAGCCCCAUGCCUCAGGGUGGGCAAUACAAGUGCCCCUAACAAUAAAGUUAAAUUGAACUUAUCGAAGUUCCCUCACCUUUUCAUUAGUUGAGUACCCAAAGGUCAGCACAAAGACAUCAUAAAAUAACCCCCCAAGAUUAUUGCCCUUUGCUGACUGUAUUAUCAAUAUUGCAGCAAUUAUUAAGUCACUUUUUAGAGUGAAAAGGCUGUGUACACAUUACUGAUUAGAAACACAGCUAGUGCUUUCUUUUUCCUCAGAUUAGAUUGAAGCUGGUUUGGAGAAGAAUGCACUGAAACAGUAGUUCAAAGAAACCACAGGAUAAAUACAGAAUAUGGCUAAUUGUACACUGCUUUGCAAACCGGCCAUGAAAGUGUUCUGGAUCCAUUUUGCCGACAGUUUAAAAUUGGGGCGUGGGGGUAGAAGAACCAUGACAAUGCAAAAUAUAUAAAGUGAUCAUCCAGCAGCACUUUAAGAAGGACCAAGUCGUUCCCACCACACUAAAUGAUGAGCAACACCAUAAGAGGCAACGUUAAUUAACCAAAGGCCAAAGCCUGGUGUCCAAAAACUGACAAAUAUGGAGCCAGGCAUGUCUUCCUGGAAAGAGCAUUCAACAAGUGGGGCAGCCACAGAAAAUGCCGCCUUCUUUACAUCCCUCAGGUGGGGCAUGCAGAGAAGGGCCUCUGGUGAAAACUGCAGGGUCAGGGUUUGUUCAUGGGGUGGGAGAGGCAGUCCUUGAAAUAUUGCGGUCCUGUGUAUGGUGUAUCAAGAAGCAGUAUGGUGUAUCAAGAGGGAGGCAGUCUUGUGGCAUCUUAAAGACUAAGGCAGGGGUCUGCAACCCGCGGCUCUGGAGCCGCAUGUGGCUCUUUUACACCUUUGCCACGGCUCCGCGGAUACUAGCGAGGGGAGGAGGCGCAUUGUGCGCCCCGACACUCCCCACUGUGGCAGGCGCUGUACUGGCUGUGACGUCGCAUGGGGCCGGUGCGUGCGUUAGUUACGCACCGUCCCGACGUCACCUUCCCGCCUGCCUGCCCGCCCGCUACAUUGUAAGGGGCAUGUACGCUGGUCACUGCAUUGAAAGGGGGCAUGUACGCUGGUCCCUGUUUUGAAGGGGAGUGAAGAACACACACACACCAAAAGGUUACUUGUUAAUUUAACGUUUAUUUCUAUGAGGAGGAGUAAUUCUGAGGGGUCAAACAAAGAAAUAAUAAAAAAGUGACAAAAAAGUUAUUUUUAUAAUGACGAGUUUUGCGGCUCCCAGGUUUUUUUCCUUCGGAAACAGGUCCAAGUGGCUCUUUUUGUCUUAAAGGUUGCAGACCCCUGGACUAAGGGGUUGCCAACAUAAUGCCCACAAGGUCCCCUUCCUUCAACAAAGUGCAGUUUAUCAGAAGCACUGCGUUGUAGCCAAGACAAUUGGUUGCAAGUGUGUGCUUGGUUGUCGGAUACCCACAAUGGUUUCUCCAAUCUGCAAGUGGGCUCCAGAAGAUUGCCCACCCCCAGUUACUUUUGGUAUAAGCUUUCACGAACCUUCCACCAGAUGCAAAGUUGAGGUAUUAUAAAAGUUAAGGUAUUAUAAUAGGAUGGCUGGGUGGGAUUGCAAGAGAGAAAUGAAAUAUGCAAAGUGCAGAGUGAUCAUUACAUUAGUAUCAGUGGCCAUUCACAAAACAGUUGUUACUGAUAACACAGACAUUCUGGUAUUGGUAAGCUAAUUGAUACAUUCAAAGAAAAUAUCUUUAUGCUGAUUCAAGCAAUCGGAGGUAGAAUUGGAUCACUUGGUGAACUGUAAUAAGCAGUUUCACACUGCAUGCACUCUUUGAGGUUUCUUUGGGAAUGGUCACUCACUCCUAGUGUCCAGGGAGAAUGAAAUGCAAUUUCUGAUAUUUGUGUAAAGGACUCUUCUGUUUUUGCCAUGCAGAAUGCGGAAAGGCAUUACUAGGUGAUUAUGGCAUAUUUCACAAUGGAAGAGGAGCAGCAGGAUAAAUCCCUGAUUUGGAUGACACCAUUAGGUCUCUACAGCCACAGCACGCACUGCAACCUUCUAACAGUUUGACUUCAUCCCCAAAGGCGUACUCCUCCAUUGUCUCCCAAGACAGAUAGAUGUCAACAAUUAGAUCCUGUAACAGUGUUGCCAAGAGAUAGGCUGGACACAGCUUAGUAGAAGGAGGUUUUGCAUACAAUGAAUUGUUAAUGGCCUCUUGCACCCUACCUCACCCCAUUUAAUCCUGCAUAGAGACCACAAAAAGGGCUUAUCUACUGAUUUUAAGGCAUCUGCUGAUCUUACGGCAUGGGCAAGAAGGCAUAGUUGCACCUUGCUCACUAGAAAGAGAGUUACACAAGCAAAUUACACUUCUGCUGUGGCACAAAAAUAGGUUAAUCAUUAACACCUUUUUGUUUUUGUUUUUGUUUGGUAAUCAUUGUUUAUAAUACCCCAUAGUUAGUUUUCUUGAAUAGACAUAUUUGCAUUUCUGUAGCAUGGCCGUGAUUAAUUUGAUGUUUAGAACAUUAGCCAUGGUCUGAAUGGGCACAAAGAGAUGGCAAGGAUUAUUGUGUUGUGCAAAUUUCCCCAUUUAUUAAGUGCAUACUUGUCCAUUUAAAAGACCAAAGAAUACUUUAAUGCUUAUUUGUCUUAAAAUACAGCCUUAAUGUGUACUUGUCUUAAAAGCUGUUCGCAUCCUGUUAUUCUCUAAACAGGCAUUUAAAAUAUACACCAUCUUGCAUCUUUGUAUGGUACAAUGGAAGGAAACAGGAACCACUUUUUAUGCUGAAACAUACUUUAUCAAUUAAAGUGUAGAUAAGAGUCAGAGUAUAUCAUCAGCUUAUCUGGGAAAUCUUUAUUACUAACUUCUGUGGCCGUAAAUGCCAGCAAACAUUUGUGAGCAUUGUGGGGGGAAACAGCAGCUGUGUAUGAAAAGCUGUGCUCUCUAUUCCCGACAUGUUUAGAAACAAACUCUCAAGGAAUGUGGUAUUUACCAUUUCUGUCUGUAUAGAUCACCAUAAUUUUUUUAUUAAUAUGUUGAAGUCAAAUUAGUAGGCAAGAUUAUGACUAAAAUAAUAACAUGCAACAGUGUAAACUUUUAAAUCACCAUCAUAUAUAUGUGUGUGUGUGUGUUCUCUUUUCCCCAUCUAGGUUCUAUGCCAGGCUUCCUCAACCUCGGCCCUCCAGAUGUUUUGGCCUACCACUCCCAUGAUCCCUGGCUAGCAGGACCAGUGGUCAGGGAUGAUGGGAAUUGUAGUCUCAAAACAUCUGGAGGACCAAGGUUGAGGAAGCCUGUUCUAGGCCAUGGAAAACCAAGCAGACAAUUUAGUUGGGUCUGUUGCCUGCUUGUGGGAGAAAAGGACAAAUCAAGGGGAUUGUUCUAAGAGAGUCUUUCAAGUACACAAAACCCUACCCACUUUCUGUUGUUUUUUCUUUUAUAUUUACCCCAUGGUACUUACUUCUGAGUAGCUAUUUCACUGUGUUAGCAACAAAAAUAAAAUAACAAAGUAUAAACAGAACUAUAGCCUGUAAUUUUAUUUUGGUUUUCAAAGACAUUAUGUUGGGCUACUGUGCUUGCUGAAUGACCAGAAAAAGUGCUCUAGCUUGCCCCUUUCCCUAGCAGGGGUUUAUACACAAAAUCAGCAGGUCCAUAUUUUCAUGUUAUGGAGCUAAAAACAACUGAAUAGGAUAGCAGCUGAGUCCUAUUCAAGGGCUGGAGGCUAUUCAAUAAGCCAAGAGUUGGGUCAUUCAAUAUCCAUAUAGCAAAUGAUGUGUAUAUUUUUUGGUAAUUUCCUUAACAAUUAUAUAUAUUGCAACCUUGCAUUCUAAUCCAUGGUCUCAGUGGAAUUUACAUUUCGGUAUGUGUGUAUAGGAUUGUGCAAUUAGUCUAUACAGUGCUGUUAAUUGACAGUUGAAUUGCAGUGUACCAAGCCCAAUGUAAGAAGAAAGGCUCUAUAGAUGCUUAUGGGUAUCUCCUGCCAUGCAUUCAGAACCGCACUUACAAAUGAAGAAAGGUCCUGCUCAGCUCUUUAAAUCUCAUCCUGCUACCUUCCUUCUAUAGCAUACAGAUUAAUCCCUAUAUACAUCAAAGAGAUCUUUUAAAGCAAGAAAAGAAAUAUUCUAUUAAUAUCAAAGUAGUUGGAAUGGCACUGAAAAUUAAUGUUACGUAAUAGAAAAUAUUGGCUCACUAAGUACAUAUUUAAGAGACUGCAAGACAGAUUGUUACCUAAUUGCUCUUUUCCCUUGGUUCUGGUGAGCAAAACCUUUUUGUGUCAUUAGCUUCACAGUGUUUCAACAGAUGAAAUAACUUGUGCCUUUUAGAAGUUGAUAAUGUAGAAUUACUACCAUCUCCAUUUACUUCCUCAUAUUAUUUUGUUUCCUGUAUAAUCUCUUGGGAUCCAAUUUAUUUAUCUCAAGCCAGAAAGCAUGCUCCUCCUCCUUGACAUUCCCAUUCCAUCACAAGUCUGUACAAAUUACAGUUUCAGCUUAAAAGAAAGCAAGGAAGGAAUUUCUAAAGAAUAAUGUGGAAUCUGACAAAGUAAGGUGAACUGUUUGCUAUUUUGGAAAAAGAUCAACUUGGAGGAAAGUGUGCUGUAUUCUAAUGAAAUUGAUGCUGUUGCACAGAAAAAUGUAAGUAAUCUUGUUGGCAAUGAGAAUGAACUGGAAAAUGUGAGAAAAUUACAGGAAACUGUUGAAAAUGUCUUCAUUUUUUAUUUCACAAAAGUGUGGUCAUUUGUAUCUGAUAGGAAUGCUGCUAUUUAUUUAUUUUUUAAGUUCUUGCUUAUGAAGAAUUAUGUAGAAUUCUGAGAAGGCAGUGUGAAGUUACUGAUUCAAUGUACCUUACAGGCAUGGCACAUAAAUUUUGUGGUCAGGAAUAAAACACUCGGGAAACAUGCAAUUGACUGUUCUGGUUUCAUUGUUUGUGAAGGGUUUAGAGUUGUACUAAAUUGUACAGGUUUACUAGAUUCUUACAAUAAGAAAGAGUUGUGUUAUUAUUGUCCACCUUCUUUUGAGCAUACAUCCUUUUCCAUCCCACCCCUAUAGCUGGCAAACACCCUGGCUUUCUUAUGUUUCAGCUGUAAAAUCUACGAUUAAAGCUGAAUCGAUUGUAUUGGUGGAGUAUCAAUGCAUCUCUCUGUAAGCUAUCUUUUUCAAAUUCAUUACAAAAACAUUUAUUCUUGGUUUUAACUCGAAAUUCUUUUAUGCUUUGGGACUCAGCUUUUCGUUUAGAAGCUUCUCUAAGAAUCGGUGGCUGAAGCACACCUGUUCUGUUGUGUUUUUUAAUGCAUUUACUCUGAAAUAUAUUAUUCUGUCCCCUAUUUCUGAGUUGCCCCUUGAUAUGCAUUUGAGGGGCAAAAGAUAAAAAGGAAGAAAUCAAACCAGUUGGCUUAUAAGUGAAGAUACCAGCAUGCCAUUUCAAACAGAAAGGUGGCAUGUCAACUCACAAGUGUGUUUUACAUUUUCAUGGGUGCCAUGCUCCAACUUGCUGUUUUGAGUAUUCAUGAUCAGUCUUGGUUUUUCUGAAGUAUCAUUUAAUUGUUUCACCUGAAAAAAUUGUUUUUAGUUUACAGUAGGGUGGUCCAACACAUGACUCGGGGGCUACAUGCAGUCCUUGAGGCUGUUUUUGGUGGCCCUCAGCAACCUUCAGGACUUCUUAAAAUGGUUUGAUUAGCUGCCCUUUUUUGUUGUUGCUGUGAGGUGCACAUGAAAACAAACAGCAAAGGCAUUUGUAAUGUCUCCCUCAACCCAGUGGCAGAGGAAGGGGUCCGCCCCAGGUGCCAGCCAGGGGGUGACAUCGCCACGGGCGGGCACCUCCCCCUUGUAACACUCGCACAGAUGGGCACUGCCCUAUUGGGACGAUGCUCGCAGGCAGGCACCGCCCCAAAAGGAUACUCGGGCGGGCAGGCGCCUCGCCCUUGGGACGCUCACACGUGUGACGUGUGACGCCCCCGCAUGCAACAUGCCACUCCCCCACAUGCGACAUGCCACACCCCACGUGCGACGUGGCACGCCCUUGCCACCCCACGUACCAAAGCCCCUUCCUCCGCAACUACCUCAACCCCUGGGAGGCCAAACGGACUAUCCCUCCCCACCUCUAACAUUGCCUGGGGCUGCUCUGUGUAUAUAUAGGCAGCGACAAAAUAUUCAUAGCAAUAAUAAUGUAUUAAUGCAAGAGAGGUAUUGCCCUCACCCCCUGGUAUUGGACAACUGGAUACCUCCACGUAUAUAUUUAAGGCUACAGCCCUGUACAGUAUGAAUUUUCCUGGGAGUAAGUCUCAGUGAACUUAACAACACUUUCUUAUGAGUAGGCACAUAUAAGGCUUGCACAUUCUGACCUGAGCAGGGCUUAAUCCCAGAUCAGCAGGCACGGAGUUGUGAUCCUGUUUUACAGAUCGCAGCCUAACAACUUGAUUUAGUGCAAACAUACUAGGGAGUAGGUUUAGGAGUGCUUACCUUUAAUAUAUUUAUUGCUUAUACAUUAUUAUUUAUUAACUAUAUUGUGAAAACCUUAAUUAACAAUAUGGAAAUUUAAUUCAGUAUGUGGCCUGCCAGGUUCUGUGUCAAAGUACUUUUGUGGCUCACGUGGUCAGAAAGGUUGGACCACCCUAGUUUACAGUAAGGUUUCUCACCAGAUAAUGUGUGCCGCUAAUUCCAGCGUCAAAUUAUGUAUAAGACUGGCAACCACAUAUUCUUUGUUACUUAUCUGCCUUGUUCACAUGUAAAAUGGUGGUGAGGUCUGAUUUUAGCCCAUAAUGGUAGGUGCAACAUUUUUUCUUUUUCUUUUUUAUAAAAUAUUUAUUGAAAUUUUACGAUAAACAUAGAUUUAAAGAAUUAAAAAAAUUGAACCAGAAAUUACACAUAGAGAG